rnacentral:miRNA from 1 species
UAGGAUGUAGAAGAGCAUAA